rnacentral:rRNA from 1 species
GAUGAACGCUGGCGGCGUGCCUAAUACAUGCAAGUCGAGCGAACAGACGAGGAGCUUGCUCCUCUGACGUUAGCGGCGGACGGGUGAGUAACACGUGGAUAACCUACCUAUAAGACUGGGAUAACUUCGGGAAACCGGAGCUAAUACCGGAUAAUAUAUUGAACCGCAUGGUUCAAUAGUGAAAGACGGUUUUGCUGUCACUUAUAGAUGGAUCCGCGCCGCAUUAGCUAGUUGGUAAGAUAACGGCUUACCAAGGCAACGAUGCGUAGCCGACCUGAGAGGGUGAUCGGCCACACUGGAACUGAGACACGGUCCAGACUCCUACGGGAGGCAGCAGUAGGGAAUCUUCCGCAAGGGGCGAAAGCCUGACGGAGCAACGCCGCGUGAGUGAUGAAGGUCUUCGGAUCGUAAAACUCUGUUAUUAGGGAAGAACAAAUGUGUAAGUAACUAUGCACGUCUUGACGGUACCUAAUCAGAAAGCCACGGCUAACUACGUG